CAAAAAACUGUUCACCAGUUGAAACUUGGACCAUUCAUCAUGGAAACAUCAAAAAGUUUUGCUUCUUGCUGGCUUGCCAAAAAUUAUAUCUUCUGGGGUGGAAAUAUUUCUGGUGUUGCUUUAGGGUGGAGGGGGGAACCGUAACAAGCCUCUCAUAGGAAGACAGACUUAGAUCAGGAAAUACUUCUUCAAAAAUCACCGAUGAACUCGACAAGUUCAGACUUAUUGCUCAGGUUUCUGCUACAGAAGGACACAAGAACAGCAACUGUUUGCAAUAAUGACCUGGCUGCUACAGGAACAAUCAGGAUGAUGGAGUGCCAGUCAUUUCUCAAGUUUCAGGUGGAGAGAGUUUGAAGCAGCUGAUGGGAUCCCAGGCAAACAGCUAAGCAGAAGAUCACUGGUAAACAUAUCAUUCGUUUUGGACUCCUACAAUGAUCGCCUCAACAAGACUUCAUGGCAGCGAGCUUUACAGAGAAGCAGCACUGAUGUUACUGAAGACAGCACCGUCACAAGCACGUCCAAGGGCAGAAUUAAGGUUACAGGCUUAAAAUGUCGGCACUUCUUGACUUCCAGCAAUAUCAUCGUGCAGCA